rnacentral:tRNA from 1 species
GCCCGGCUAGCUCAGUCGGUAGAGCGCAAGACUCUUAAUCUUGUGGCCGUGGGUUCAAGUCCCACGUCGGGCA